ACAAAAGGAAAAAGUAUUCAAUCGAGAAGUAAAAAUUAUUUAUAUAAUAUUCCAAAAUGAAAUUUUCAAACGUUCUGUUGACAAUUAUUCUCAUUGUAAGUGUUUUAACAAAUGUUAAAGCUGUUGGUGAAGAGAAAUUAUCUUGCAAAGCAAAAUGCGUACUCUCAUGUAUCUUAAGUAAAACACCUGGUUGCAUGUUUGAUUGUAUGAAACAAUGUCAUCUUCACAUUUCUCUUGAAGAAUUGAAUUGUAAUUCUUCUUGUUCAAUGGAACGUUGCUCUAAAUUUAAAGAAGAUUCAAAGCUAACAGAGAGCUGCUUGGAAGAGUGUUCAACUAAAUAUUGCAAUAAAAAAUUCAUGUAAUUUCAUGCUUGUUGUUUCUUUGCAAAAACAUAAGUGAUGAAAAGAAUUUAAGAUAAAAUUUAUGUUAUAUGUCAUAUUACUCCAAUGUAUUGAUUUAUAUUUUAAUAUAAUAAAGUGGAGCAAUAUUUUUGAUAA